UGACCCUGAAUACCUCGUAUGCAUUCAGAUC
rnacentral:piRNA from 1 species